UAACAAAUGACUGGCAACUUCCUGGCCAGCUAGACAGUCACAGGUGUUAGAAAAGCAUGCUUAUGAACUAUUCCUCUAGGACCUCCCAGCUCUGAUUAGCUUUUGAAAGACCAAACUCGAGUGACUCUAAGAUCUGACACCAACUCUGCUAUCCAAGCAGCGACUCACUGU